rnacentral:rRNA from 1 species
AGGUGUGGAUAGCGGAGAAAUUCCAAUCGAACCCGGAGAUAGCUGGUUCUCCUCGAAAUAGCUUUAGGGCUAGCCUCAUGAGAGUCUUAUGGAGGUAGAGCACUGAAUUGCCUAGGGGGCGUCAAAGCUUACCAAAGCAUAUCAAACUCCGAAUGCCAUCAAGAUGAUUCAUGGGAGUCAGACCAUACGAGAUAAGUUGGAUGGUCAAAAGGGAAAGAGCCCAGACCUACAGCUAAGGUCCCAAAGUACGUGUUAAGUGGAAAAGGAUGUGGGGAUUCUAAGACAACUAGGACGUUGGCUUAGAAGCAGCCAUUCAUUGAAAGAGUGCGUAAUAGCUCACUAGUCGAGAGUCCCUGCGCCGAAAAUGUCCGGGGCUGAAACACGACACCGAAGCUUAGGAAUGUGUAAACAUUGGUAGAGGAGCAUUGCUGGCGGGAUGAAGCCAUACCGUAAGGAGUGGUGGACUGCUAGGAAGAGAGAAUGCCGGAAUGAGUAGCGAGAUGAAGGUGAGAAUCCUUCAGGCCGAAUAUCUAAGGUUUCCAGAGUAAAGCUGAUCUGCUCUGGGUAAGUCGGGACCUAAGGCGAGGUCGAAAGACGUAGUCGAUGGAUAACAGGUUGAAAUUCCUGUACCGCAUAUAAACAGAACUGUGGGGACACAGACAGGGAAUGGAAUCCGGGAAUGGAUAUCCCGGUGCAAGCGAGGUAGGAGUGCUGUUGGCAAAUCCGCAGCACGAUCUGAAGACGUGACGCGUACCGAACAUAAGUAGGGAAGUCCAGGCCCCUGGCUGUCAAGAAAAGCCGCUAUUGUUUUAUAUGUGCCCGUACCGCAAACCGACACAGGUGGAUGAGGAGAGAAUCCUAAGGCCGACGGGAGAAGUAUUGUUAAGGAACUCGGCAAAAUGACUCCGUAACUUCGGGAGAAGGAGUGCCAUGAGAGUGGCCGCAGAGAAAUGGCCCAAGCAACUGUUUAGCAAAAACACAGGUCUAUGCAAAACCGCAAGGUGAAGUAUAUGGGCUGACGCCUGCCCGGUGCUGGAAGGUUAAGGGGAGAGGUUAGCGCAAGCGAAGCUUUGAACUUAAGCCCCAGUAAACGGCGGCCGUAACUAUAACGGUCCUAAGGUAGCGAAAUUCCUUGUCGGGUAAGUUCCGACCC